AAUGAAAUAUUUGUGUGAGCAAGCCAAAGCAAACCUUACUGUAAACCACACAUUCGCCGAUAUCCACAGAGAUGUAAGGAAGGUCUCCCGCAAGAGCAGAAAACUUUAGAGCUGAUUGAGUCUCUCCUGGUCACAGACGGUCAUAAUUCAGUUUGUGGCUGAACUGGGUAGGAUGUCAGAAACUCCCCCGAUAGCCUGGAAAAGUGGUCUAUUUGACUGCUUUGAAGACGUGAAUACUUGUUGCUAUGGCUUCUGGUGUUGCCCUUUCCUUGCCUGCACCGUUUCAAGAAGAUUUGGAGAGAAUUACUGUUUGCCUUUAUGCGACAUGUUAUGUCCUGUUGCGCUUGCUACCUGUGGAAUGCCUCUGUUUUUCACCCCUGCAGCACUGUCUUUGAGGGCCUCCAUUCGUAACAAACACGGAAUAAAGGGUUCCCUGUGCGAAGACAUAUUUGCUUCCUGUUGCUGUGUCUGGUGCUCCUGGUGUCAGAUGCAUCGUGAGCUAAAGGAGUACACUCCUGUUGUUGUCAUUGUGCAGCAGCCCCAGACACAGCAGCCACCAACUGUGGUCAACAUGCGGACUAAUCCUGUCAUGACGGUUAACCAAAACUCUGCUUCACCUUCUGGCGGUUUUCAAAACCCUGUUGGGUUUCAAAACUUUCCCCAAAGCCCUCCUUGGUUUCAGAAUUGUCCUCAACAUCCUGGUGGGUUUCAAAACUCUCAAACUCCUGUUAGUUUUCAAAAUCCUGCUCAAAGUCUUACAGGACUACAAAAUGAAAACCAUCUUGAUUUUAAAGAGUAAAAUUUCUGUACAAAUUUGUCAAAAGUUAAAUUCUUCAGAUCAGUAUUGACAGUCAAGUCAAUACUUCCUAUAAAAAUAAAAUGUUAAAUGUGACCUUGAAGUUCAUAUGCAUAUUUUCUUAUAAACAUCGUGUGUCUACUUCCUUCAUUUCAAAUUAAAAAAAAAAACAUAACCCCAAUAACGCACCUAAAAAAAUAUGAAUGAGUGACUAAUACAUUAAAUUGAGUUAGAAUUAGGGGCCGGCAUUCAUAUUGUUUAUUGUGAUAAAUUUCUUAAGAGUUUUGAUUUAUCAUUGUCACAAUAAAUUCUAAUUGAUGUUUAAAACUCCCCCAAACUCUCUGUAAUGUCAGGAUUAUUAGUUUUACUAUUUUCUACACUGUUUGUUCAAUAAAUAUCAGUACAUUUUAAAAUAUGACUAAAUUCAGUUUCUGUGUGCAAAUUAGUGACAGUAAUCACUAAUCUUAUGUUUUCCAAGAGAAGUGUUUGUUUGUGCAGCUGCUCUUGUUGUGCCAUACAAUCACAGCCAUAGUUACCUAAAGUAGUAAUAGUUAGCGUCACUUUCAUUAUUACAAUAUUAGACUACUAUAAAGCUUGAAGUCCAUAUCACCCACCCUUAACUAUAAUAUUGAUAAACAAUCAUUCUUUCACAUUUAUUCAGUCAUAAGUGUUAAAUUCAUAUGAUAUAGAUUUAUACAGUGGCAUAUUUGUGUUUUUACUGGUUAUUUUCACAUUUGACUUACAGCUAAUGAAAUUGGAUUUUUAGAAAACUAGAUUACAUAAAAAUGUGAUUUCAUUUAAGCAGAGCAUGAUGCUGGACCACAUUGCCAAAGAUACAAGUAACUGGGUUUAUGAUUAUAUCAUUGCGGGUGUGUAAAACCAGGGAAAACCAGCUUUGAAAGAUGUCCCUAAAGCAAGUAAACAUUUUCCUAGAAUGUUUCACAUGAAUGUGUGUUGGUAAACAUAACAUUAACUGUCAGGGAGGGAGAUAUGUACAGCUUGACUCUGUGUGCCUUCAGAACAGGGUAAAACACUGCACUGUAUUAUCCUAAUUCUGGUUGUCAACAUGAAAUAAAGCAAAACAACUGAA